AGAGACAGCAGUAGCCGCGGGAAUACGGAGGGUGUAAGCGUUAAUCGGAAUUACUGGGUGUAAAGCGCACGCAGGCGGUUUGUUAAGUCAGGUGUGAAAUCCCCGAGCUUAACUUGGGAACUGCAUUUGAAACUGGCAAGCUAGAGUCUUGUAGAGGGGGGUAGAAUUCCAGGUGUAGCGGUGAAAUGCGUAGAGAUCUGGAGGAAUACCGGUGGCGAAGGCGGCCCCUGGACAAAGACUGACGCUCAGGUGCGAAAGCGUGGGGAGCAAACAGGAUUAGAUACCCCGGUAGUCCCUGUCUCUUAUACA
rnacentral:rRNA from 1 species